GGAAUAUUGGACAAUGGGCGCAAGCCUGAUCCAGCCAUGCCGCGUGAGUGAUGAAGGCCUUAGGGUUGUAAAGCUCUUUUAUGAGGGAAGAUGAUGACGGUACCUCAAGAAUAAGCUCCGGCUAACUUCGUGCCAGCAGCCGCGGUAAUACGAAGGGAACUAGCGUUGUUCGGAAUUACUGGGCGUAAAGCGCGCGUAGGUGGCAAUGCAAGUCAGGGGUGAAAUCCCAGAGCUUAACUCUGGAAUUGCCUUUGAAACUGCAUUGCUUGAGUAUCGGAGGGGAUGGUGGAAUUUCUAAUGUAGCGGUGAAAUGCGUAGAUAUUAGAAGGAACACCGGUGGCGAAGGCGACCAUCUGGACGAUGACUGACACUGAGGUGCGAAAGCGUGGGGAUCAAAC
rnacentral:rRNA from 1 species